GACGAACGCUGGCGGCGUGCUUAACACAUGCAAGUCGAACGGAAAGGCCCUGCUUUUGUGGGGUGCUCGAGUGGCGAACGGGUGAGUAACACGUGAGUAACCUUCCCUUGACUUUGGGAUAACUUCAGGAAACUGGGGCUAAUACCGGAUAUGAGCUCCUGCUCCUUGGUGGGGGUUGGAAAUUUUCGGCGGUUGGGGAUGGACUCGCGGCUUAUCAGCUUGUUGGUGGGGUAGUGGCUUACCAAGGCUUUGACGGGUAGCCGGCCUGAGAGGGUGACCGGCCACAUUGGGACUGAGAGACGGCCCAGACUCAUACGGGAGGCAGCAGUGGGGAAUAUUGCACAAUGGGCGGAAGCCUGAUGCAGCAACGACGCGUGCGGGAUGACGGCCUUCGGGUUGUAAACCGCUUUCGCCUGUGACGAAGCGUGAGUGACGGUAAUGAGUAAAGAAGCACCGGCUAACUACGUG
rnacentral:rRNA from 1 species